rnacentral:rRNA from 1 species
CGAAAGGCGUAGUCGAUGGGAAACAGGUUAAUAUUCCUGUACUUGGUGUUACUGCGAAGGGGGGACGGAGAAGGCUAUGUUGGCCGGGCGACGGUUGUCCCGGUUUAAGCGUGUAGGCUGGUUUUCCAGGCAAAUCCGGAAAAUCAAGGCUGAGGCGUGAUGACGAGGCACUACGGUGCUGAAGCAACAAAUGCCCUGCUUCCAGGAAAAGCCUCUAAGCAUCAGGUAACAUCAAAUCGUACCCCAAACCGACACAGGUGGUCAGGUAGAGAAUACCAAGGCGCUUGAGAGAACUCGGGUGAAGGAACUAGGCAAAAUGGUGCCGUAACUUCGGGAGAAGGCACGCUGAUAUGUAGGUGAAGCGACUUGCUCGUGGAGCUGAAAUCAGUCGAAGAUACCAGCUGGCUGCAACUGUUUAUUAAAAACACAGCACUGUGCAAACACGAAAGUGGACGUAUACGGUGUGACGCCUGCCCGGUGCCGGAAGGUUAAUUGAUGGGGUCAGCGCAAGCGAAGCUCUUGAUCGAAGCCCCGGUAAACGGCGGCCGUAACUAUAACGGUCCUAAGGUAGCGAAAUUCCUUGUCGGGUAAGUUCCGACCUGCACGAAUGGCGUAAUGAUGGCCAGGCUGUCUCCACCCGAGACUCAGUGAAAUUGAACUCGCUGUGAAGAUGCAGUGUACCCGCGGCAAGACGGAAAGACCCCGUGAACCUUUACUAUAGCUUGACACUGAACAUUGAGCCUUGAUGUGUAGGAUAGGUGGGAGGCUUUGAAGUGUGGACGCCAGUCUGCAUGGAGCCGACCUUGAAAUACCACCCUUUAAUGUUUGAUGUUCUAACGUGGACCCGUAAUCCGGGUUGCGGACAGUGUCUGGUGGGUAGUUUGACUGGGGCGGUCUCCUCCUAAAGAGUAACGGAGGAGCACGAAGGUUGGCUAAUCCUGGUCGGACAUCAGGAGGUUAGUGCAAUGGCAUAAGCCAGCUUGACUGCGAGCGUGACGGCGCGAGCAGGUGCGAAAGCAGGUCAUAGUGAUCCGGUGGUUCUGAAUGGAAGGGCCAUCGCUCAACGGAUAAAAGGUACUCCGGGGAUAACAGGCUGAUACCGCCCAAGAGUUCAUAUCGACGGCGGUGUUUGGCACCUCGAUGUCGGCUCAUCACAUCCUGGGGCUGAAGUAGGUCCCAAGGGUAUGGCUGUUCGCCAUUUAAAGUGGUACGCGAGCUGGGUUUAGAACGUCGUGAGACAGUUCGGUCCCUAUCUGCCGUGGGCGCUGGAGAACUGAGGGGGGCUGCUCCUAGUACGAGAGGACCGGAGUGGACGCAUCACUGGUGUUCGGGUUGUCAUGCCAAUGGCACUGCCCGGUAGCUAAAUGCGGAAGAGAUAAGUGCUGAAAGCAUCUAAGCACGAAACUUGCCCCGAGAUGAGUUCUCCCUGACUCCUUGAGAGUCCUGAAGGAACGUUGAAGACGACGACGUUGAUAGGCCGGGUGUGUAAGCGCAGCGAUGCGUUGAGCUAACCGGUACUAAUGAACCGUGAGGCUUAACCUUACAACGCCGAAGGUGUUU